UACGAAGGGGGCUAGCGUUGUUCGGAAUUACUGGGCGUAAAGGGCUCGUAGGCGGCCAACUAAGUCAGACGUGAAAUCCCCAGGCUCAACCUGGGAACUGCGUCUGAUACUGGAUGGCUUGAAUCCGGGAGAGGGAUGCAGAAUUCCAGGUGUAGCGGUGAAAUGCGUAGAUAUCUGAGGAGUACCGGUGGCGAAGGCGGCAUCCUGGACCGAUACCGACGCUGAGGCACGAAAGCUAGGGGAGCAAACAGG
rnacentral:rRNA from 1 species